rnacentral:rRNA from 1 species
AUACCAAGGCGCUUGAGAGAACUCGGGUGAAGGAACUAGGCAAAAUGGUGCCGUAACUUCGGGAGAAGGCACGCUGAUAUGUAGGUGAAGUCCCUGCGGACGGAGCUGAAAUCAGUCGAAGAUACCAGCUGGCUGCAACUGUUUAUUAAAAACACAGCACUGUGCAAACACGAAAGUUUGGUGGGUCGUGCAGGAUUCGAACCUGCGACCAAUUGAUUAAAAGUCAACUGCUCUACCAACUGAGCUAACGACCCCUUACGGGAUGUACUUCAAAUCUAUUCAGGCUGGUGGGUCGUGCAGGAUUCGAACCUGCGACCAAUUGAUUAAAAGUCAACUGCUCUACCAACUGAGCUAACGACCCA